rnacentral:rRNA from 1 species
GACGAACGCUGGCGGCGUGCUUAACACAUGCAAGUCACGGGGGCCCGCAAGGGCAACCGGCGAACGGGUGCGUAACACGUGAACAACCUGCCCCUGUGUGGGGGAUAGCCAUGCCAACGCGUGGGUAAUACCGCAUACGGUCUUUCUGGGGAGUCCCGGGGAGAAGAAAGCUCAGGCGCACGGGGAGGGGUUCGCGGCCUAUCAGCUAGUUGGCGAGGUAACGGCUCACCAAGGCGACGACGGGUAGCUGGUCUGAGAGGAUGGCCAGCCACAUUGGGACUGAGAGACGGCCCAGACUCCUACGGGAGGCAGCAGUGGGGAAUCUUGCGCAAUGGCCGAAAGGCUGACGCAGCGACGCCGCGUGUGGGAGGACGCCUUUCGGGUGUAACCACUGUUGCCCGGGACGAACAGCCCUUUCGAGGGGUCUGACGGUACCGGGUGAGGAGCACCGGCUAACUCCGUGCCAGCAGCCGCA